rnacentral:rRNA from 1 species
AACGAACGUUAGCGGCGCGCUUAACACAUGCAAGUCGUACGAGAAAGGGCUUCGGCCCCGGUACAGUGGCGCACGGGUGAGUAACACGUAGGUAACCUACCCUCGAGUGGUGGAUAACCCUCCGAAAGGAGAGCUAAUACAGCAUAAGACCACAGCAUCCCGAUGCUGCGGAAAAAGCGGGCCUCUCUAUAGAAGCUCGUGCUCGAGGAUGGGCCUGCGGCCCAUCAGCUAGUUGGUGAGGUAAUGGCCCACCAAGGCAAAGACGGGUAGCUGGUCUGAGAGGAUGAACAGCCACACUGGAACUGAGACACGGUCCAGACUCCUACGGGAGGCAGCAGUGGGGAAUCUUGCGCAAUGGGCGAAAGCCUGACGCAGCGACGCCGCGUGAGCGAUGAAGGCCCUCGGGUUGUAAAGCUCUGUGGGGAGGGAAGAAUAAGCCUAGGCUAAUACCUCUAGGUGAUGACGGUACCUCCUUAGCAAGCACCGGCUAACUCUGUGCCAGCAGCCGCGGUAAGACAGAGGGUGCAAACGUUGUUCGGAAUUACUGGGCGUAAAGCGCGUGUAGGCGGCUAUGCAGUUCGGGCGUGAAAGCCCACGGCUCAACCGUGGAAGUGCACUCGAAACUGCGUAGC